GAUGAACGCUGGCGGCGUGCUUAACACAUGCAAGUCGAGCGAGAAGUUUUGAAAAGAUUCUUCGGAUGAAAUUUAAAAUGGAAAGCGGCGGACGGGUGAGUAACGCGUAGGCAACCUGCCCCAUACAAAGGGAUAGCAUUUGGAAACGAAUAUUAAUACCUUAUGAAACUUAACUAGUGCAUGCUAGGUAGGUCAAAGAUUUAUCGGUAUGGGAUGGGCCUGCGUCUGAUUAGCUAGUUGGUGAGGUAACGGCUCACCAAGGCGACGAUCAGUAGCCGACCUGAGAGGGUGAACGGCCACAUUGGAACUGAGACACGGUCCAAACUCCUACGGGAGGCAGCAGUGGGGAAUAUUGCACAAUGGGGGAAACACUGAUGCAGCAACGCCGCGUGAACGAUGAAGGCCUUUGGGUCGUAAAGUUCUGUUCUAGGUGAUGAAAACUGACAGUAACCUAGGAGAAAGCCCCGGCUAACUCCGUG
rnacentral:rRNA from 1 species